rnacentral:rRNA from 1 species
AUUGAACGCUGGCGGCAGGCCUAACACAUGCAAGUCGAACGAGUGGCGGACGGGUGAGUAAUGUCUGGGAAACUGCCUGAUGGAGGGGGAUAACUACUGGAAACGGUAGCUAAUACCGCAUACCAUCAGAUGUGCCCAGAUGGGAUUAGCUAGGUGGUGGGGUAACGGCUCACAAAGGCGACGAUCCCUAGCUGGUCUGAGAGGGUGACCAGCCACGGUGGAACUGAGACGCGGUCCAGGCGCCUAGGGGAGGCAGGGGGGGGGAAUAUUGCGAAAUGGGGGAAAGCGUGAUGCAGCCAUGCCGGGUGUAUGAAGAAGGCUUUGGGGUUGUAAAGUACUUGCAGCGGGGAGGGGUUACCCGCAGAAGAAGCACCGGCUAAUUCCGUGCCAGAGCCGCGGUAAUAC